rnacentral:rRNA from 1 species
CCUACGGGAGGCAGCAGUGGGGAAUAUUGGACAAUGGGCGAAAGCCUGAUCCAGCCAUGCCGCGUGUGUGAAGAAGGCCUUCGGGUUGUAAAGCACUUUCAGUGGGGAAGAAAGCCUUGGGGCUAAUACCCUCGAGGAAGGACAUCACCCACAGAAGAAGCACCGGCUAACUCCGUGCCAGCAGCCGCGGUAAUACGGAGGGUGCGAGCGUUAAUCGGAAUUACUGGGCGUAAAGCGCGCGUAGGCGGUCUGAUAAGCCGGUUGGGAAAGCCCCGGGCUCAACCUGGGAACGGCAUCCGGAACUGUCAGGCUAGAGUGCAGGAGAGGAAGGUAGAAUUCCCGGUGUAGCGGUGAAAUGCGUAGAGAUCGGGAGGAAUACCAGUGGCGAAGGCGGCCUUCUGGACUGACACUGACGCUGAGGUGCGAAAGCGUGGGUAGCAAACAGGAUUAGAUACCCCAGUAGUC